GAUGAACGCUGGCGGCGUGCCUAAUACAUGCAAGUCGAGCGAACAGAUGAGGAGCUUGCUCCUCUGACGUUAGCGGCGGACGGGUGAGUAACACGUGGAUAACCUACCUAUAAGACUGGGAUAACUUCGGGAAACCGGAGCUAAUACCGGAUAAUAUAUUGAACCGCAUGGUUCAAUAGUGAAAGACGGUUUUGCUGUCACUUAUAGAUGGAUCCGCGCCGCAUUAGCUAGUUGGUAAGGUAACGGCUUACCAAGGCGACGAUGCGUAGCCGACCUGAGAGGUUGUUGGCCCCCACUGUACCUGACCCCCGGUCCAGACCCCUGCGGGGGGCAGCAGUCGGGAUUCUUCCGCGAUGGGCGAAGGCCUAACGGAGCACCCCCGGGUGGGUUAUGAGGUUCUUCGGAUCUUAAAACUCUUUUAUUAGGAAAAAAAAAUUUUGAAAGAACCUAUACCUGUCUUGCGGUUCCCUAAUAAGAAAGCCCCGCCUACCUCCCCC
rnacentral:rRNA from 1 species